rnacentral:rRNA from 1 species
UCCACGCUGUAAACGAUGGUGACUAGGUGUAGAGGGUGGAAGACAUCAGCUGUGCCGAAGCCAACGCGAUAAGUCACCCGCCUGGGGACUACGGUCGCAAGACUAAAACUCAAAGGAAUUGACGGGGGCCCGCACAAGCAGCGGAGCGUGUGGUUUAAUUCGAUGAUACGCGAAGAACCUUACCUGGGUUUGACAUUUAUGUGGUAGCGAGCCGAAAGGUGAGCGACCCUUCG